rnacentral:tRNA from 1 species
GCGGCCGUGCCCGAGCGGACAAAGGGGCCAGGUUGAGGUCCUGGUGGGGUAGUCCCUGCCGGGGUUCGAAUCCCCGCGGCCGCA